GACAGAGGAUGCAAGCGUUAUCCGGAAUGAUUGGGCGUAAAGCGUCUGUAGGUGGCUUUUCAAGUCCGCCGUCAAAUCCCAGGGCUCAACCCUGGACAGGCGGUGGAAACUACCAAGCUGGAGUACGGUAGGGGCAGAGGGAAUUUCCGGUGGAGCGGUGAAAUGCUUAGAUAUGACAUAGAACACCCAUUGCGAAGGCAGCUUACUACACGAUCAUUGACGCUGAGGCACGAAAGCGUGGGGAGCAAACAGG
rnacentral:rRNA from 1 species